CCCUGACUUCCCUGCAGGAGAAACCCCCCGGUCCGGAGGUUCGCCCCGACUCUGCCCGGUGGGGAGCCUCUCCUUGCGUGCCUUUUUACUUUGCACAGAGCAAUCAUUGGCGCAAUGGCCUUUUUCCUGCCCACCUUCUUUCUCAGGAAGCUCCUCGGGGCAGCUCCAGGGCCCCUCACCUUGGGGGAGGUAGCCGGCAGGGCCCUGCGUGUCAGAGGCACAGGGAAGGUGGACUGAGUGAGUGGGGGAGUGAGGGAGCCAGAGGAACAGACGGACUUCCCGGGGCUGCAGGCUCCUGGCCUGGCCCAGCUCUCACUAGUGCUGUGUCCCUGCCCUGGGCCUCUGUUACCUUAGCUGGAAAUGAGAAGACUGGCUUAGGUCAUCUCCAAGGCGCCUUCCAGGGCUAGUACCCUGUGAAGAUCAGAUAAGCAUGCAGACGGGUAACAGGAUCCUUCCACUCCAGGACAGGCAGGAGCCUGUAAUUCCACAGGGGGCCGCGGGGUGGCAGGUGGGAAGGAGGCAGGCCCAUGCAGAGCCGCCUUGGCUUUGCAGAGCGAAGGGAGGGCCUGGAUUCUAUCCUCACUCAGGGUCAGUCUUUUCUCUAAACUGGGCAAUGUUAGAAGACUCAGGUGAAAGAGCAGCUCCCGCUUCCCAGGCUGCCUGCGGCCCCCAGAUGCAAAGCCAGCAGCAGGAGGCUUCAGGAGAGAUCGGCUGCCAGCUGUGAGCUUGAAGAGGGGACGGGCGGUGUUUUGACUCAUCCCUCUCCUCUCUCUACCACCCGUUUGGGUUGUGAGCCUCGGUCUGAAUUUCACUAGGAACCAAGAACUACAGGCUUUAGACGAUGGAUAAGAGAACCGCCCAUGGGGAGGACACCUAUCAGCUUCCUCUCAGUCCCAGAGCGUUCUUAGCACUGGCACAAAAGAAAAGCCCUGCCCAGGUUCUGACGUCAUCAGGCUCGGGCAUGAAAGGAAAACAAGAUGACCCUGCUGGUGUGCUCCAGAGGAAGACCAGCCUUCAGCCCCACCCCACCCAGAGGUUAAUCCGCUCAGCCUCUGCUGCGGACCAGCCGUCCCCCUCACUUCACCUCCACCCCGGGCCCAACAGGAGCCCCAGUUCCACCGGUGCACGGAGCAGGCCUCGCCUCUGGCUCUGGACGAACCAUGCUGCUGCUGCUGCUGCUGCUAAGUCGCUUCAUUCAUGUCUGACUCUGUGCAACCCCAUAGACAUAGAUGGAAGCCCACCAGGCUCCCCGUCCCUGGGAUUCUCCAGGCAAGAACACUGGAGUGGGUUGCCAUUUCCUUCUCCAGUGCAUGAAAGAGAAAAGUGAAAGGGAAGUUGCUCAGUCGUGUCCGAGUCUUCGAGACCCCAUGGACUGCAGCCUACCAGGCUCCUCCGUCCAUGGGAUUUUCCAGGCAAGAGUACUGGAGUGGGGUGCCACUGCCUUCUCUGGGACGAGCCAUGAGUGAUGAAUAAAAAGGUUCCCCCAGUCUGGCUGGCCAGGGGAGCAGCCACAUGGGUGCCCUCCCACAGUCCCAGGGCGGGGUGGACACAAGCCCAGGAUUCAGAGAGCAAAGCAGGAAAGGACGUUCCAACAAGGGCAAUGGCCAGGUGUCCUCACCCUGCUGACCCCUGCAGCUUCUAGGACUCACUGAGCUCUGGGCUAGAGGAUGGCGUCUGACCCCCCAGGCAGGGCCGCUGCUGCUGCUGCUAAGUCGCUUCAGUCGUGUCCGACUCUGUGCUACCCCACAGACAGCCUCCCACCAGGCUUCCCCUGUCCCUGGGAUUCUCCAGGCAAGAACACUGGAGUGGGUUGCCAUUUCCUUCAAUGCAUGAAAGUGAAAAGUGAAAGUAGAGUCCCCCAGUCGAGCCCAACUCUUGGCGCCCCCAUGGACUACAGCCUACCAGGCUCCUCUGUCCAUGGGAUUUUCUAGGCAAGAGUACUGGAGUGGGAUGCCAUUGCCUUCUCCACCCCAGGCGGGGACCAGCCAAUAAUUAACAACGGGGGCAGGUGCCUGGCCACUUGGGGGAGACCCUCACAAGGAUCCCAUGAGUUGGCUGUUAUGACUCGAGUUUUCAAACAAGGAAAUGAACAAGGAGGGACAAGGGACCCCGAAGACCCUUGGUCACUGCGGGCAGGGCUGGGCCUCUACGUACACAAUGGGGCCUCUUCCCCCAUCACCAGGGAGGGGGUGCUAAUGCCAGCCAGGGAGCGGGAAUUCGGGGAGUGCAUAGGCUGGGGCAGGGAGCCUGUUCAACACUGCAUCCCUGUCGGCUUCCACGGCUGGACACCUGCCACGGCCCUGAAGGUGGGCAGGGACUUGGCCCGGGUCACCAAAGCCAGGGGGACUUCUAUUCUUCUCUCAUCCCAGACCUCAGAAUUUCCCACCAUCCCAGUUUUUAACCUUUCAGUUAGGUUGCUCUCAAUGGGAUUGUUUUGUGACUCAGCACUUUUCAGAUGAGCAAACUCACACCCACUUCACGGAUGGGGUGGACCCCUUGGGGUGGGG
ensembl:lncRNA